UCUCUGGUGGUCUAGUUGUCAAGACUUUGAGCUUCCAAUGCAGAGGAUGUAUGUUUGAUUCCUGCCCAGAGAA
rnacentral:tRNA from 1 species